GGGACAGAGAGAGAAGUCAUCAGGUUUGGUAUUGGGACAGAGAGAGGUCAUCAGGUUUGGUAUUGGGACAGAGAGAGAAGUCAUCAGGUUUGGUAUUGGGACAGAGAGAGAUGUCAUCAGGUUUGGUAUUGGGACAGAGAGAGAAGUCAUCAGGUUUGGUAUUGGGACAGAGAGAGAAGUCAUCAGGUUUGGUAUUGGGACAGAGAGAGAUGUCAUCAGGUUUGGUAUUGGGACAGAGAGAGAAGUCAUCAGGUUUGGUAUUGGGACAGAGAGAGAAGUCAUCAGGUUUGGUAUUGGGACAGAGAGAGAAGUCAUCAGGUUUGGUAUUGGGACAGAGAGAGAAGUCAUCAGGUUUGGUAUUGGGAC